GGGGUAGUAAAGGUUUCGACGGGGGUUAUGAAGCUGGAGAAGCUAUCCGCAGGUGAUGCGUCAAAUCACAAACCUAAAUAUAAACGCUGAAGACAAUUUAGCAAUCGCUGCCUAAUGGCAGCUGUCUGACUUAGAGCACCUGCACUUUAAGACCCAGGCAUCGACUAUGCAGGAAACGACGUAUGCUAAGCUUUGCACAUGCGGGCGUAUCAUGAAGCUACUAAAAGCAGAAGGAUGUCUGUUUCCGUCUGCCGGAGGGAAUGUCAAACAACCGACUAUGAUAGUAGAAGGACAGUGAAUUGGCUUUCGGACACGAGUUCGAUUCUCGUCUACUCCAUAC
rnacentral:tmRNA from 1 species